rnacentral:rRNA from 1 species
UAAUGCGUGACCAACCUGCCCCAUGCUCCAGAAUAGCUCUUGGAAACGGGUGGUAAUGCUGGAUGCUCCAACUUGACGCAUGUCUUGUUGGGAAAGUGUUUAGUGGCAUGGGAUGGGGUCGCGUCCUAUCAGCUUGUAGGCGGGGUAAUGGCCCACCUAGGCNUUCGACGGGAGCCGGCCUGAGAGGGCGGACGGCCACAUUGGGACUGAGAUACGGCCCAGACUCCACGGGAGGCAGCAGCU